UCAAAUGUAUAUUUUAGGUCUUCCUCAUCUAUAUUUAAUUUAUCGCUCGUCAUUGUUAAAACGAUUGAAAUGCCAAUCAUAGCGCACAGUAGCCAAUCCAAGGCUUUAGAUUAAUCACGCUUGUUGAGAUCACGUGCUUGUGACUGAAUUCACCGCGAUCACGAAGUUUCUCGUCUUAAACAACAAAUAGUGUUUUAGCGACGUAAGUACUACAUUUCGCUGCUUCAGUAAUUAUAAAUGCUGAAUUUCAUCGGAUCACAACCCUUCCUUUACAGUCCAAAAUUCCUGUCCAAACUGCAUCGGUUCUCUGAUGAUCUGCUAAAAGUGUUUACUAAAAAGGGUGAAGUUUAGAAAAAAGAUUCAAGAUGCGAUGGUGCCAAUGUCUCAGACCAAGCAACAGUGCAUUCUCAAGGGGCUAUGCAUCUACCUGAAUGAAGAUGAAGGUGAUGGAGUAUUUGGUGAGUGCA